rnacentral:rRNA from 1 species
AGAGUUUGAUCCUGGCUCAGGACGAACGCUGGCGGCGUGCCUAAUACAUGCAAGUCGAGCGAAUCUUUGGGAGCUUGCUCCUAAAGGUUAGCGGCGGACGGGUGAGUAACACGUGGGCAACCUGCCUGUAAGACUGGGAUAACUCCGGGAAACCGGGGCUAAUACCGGAUAAUAUCUUUUUAUACAUAUAAUGAGAUUGAAAGAUGGUUCUGCUAUCACUUACAGAUGGGCCCGCGGCGCAUUAGCUAGUUGGUGAGGUAACGGCUCACCAAGGCGACGAUGCGUAGCCGACCUGAGAGGGUGAUCGGCCACACUGGGACUGAGACACGGCCCAGACUCCUGCGGGAGGCAGCAGUAGGGAAUCUUCCGCAAUGGACGAAAGUCUGACGGAGCAACGCCGCGUGAGUGAUGAAGGUUUUCGGAUCGUAAAACUCUGUUGUUAGGGAAGAACAAGUAUCGGAGUAACUGCCGGUACCUUGACGGUACCUAACCAGAAAGCCACGGCUAACUACGUGCCAGCAGCCGCGGUAAUACGUAGGUGGCAAGCGUUGUCCGGAAUUAUUGGGCGUAAAGCGCGCGCAGGCGGUUCUUUAAGUCUGAUGUGAAAGCCCACGGCUCAACCGUGGAGGGUCAUUGGAAACUGGGGAACUUGAGUGCAGAAGAGGANAGUGGAAUUCCAAGUGUAGCGGUGAAAUGCGUAGAGAUUUGGAGGAACACCAGUGGCGAAGGCGACUUUCUGGUCUGUAACUGACGCUGAGGCGCGAAAGCGUGGGGAGCAAACAGGAUUAGAUACCUGGUAGUCCACGCCGUAAACGAUGAGUGCUAAGUGUUAGAGGGUUUCCGCCCUUUAGUGCUGCAGCAAACGCAUUAAGCACUCCGCCUGGGGAGUACGACCGCAAGGUUGAAACUCAAAGGAAUUGACGGGGGCCCGCACAAGCGGUGGAGCAUGUGGUUUAAUUCGAAGCAACGCGAAGAACCUUACCAGGUCUUGACAUCCUCUGAAAUGCCUAGAGAUAGGACUUUCCCCUUCGGGGGACAGAGUGACAGGUGGUGCAUGGUUGUCGUCAGCUCGUGUCGUGAGAUGUUGGGUUAAGUCCCGCAACGAGCGCAACCCUUGAUCUUAGUUGCCAGCAUUCAGUUGGGCACUCUAAGGUGACUGCCGGUGACAAACCGGAGGAAGGUGGGGAUGACGUCAAAUCAUCAUGCCCCUUAUGACCUGGGCUACACACGUGCUACAAUGGAUGGUACAAAGGGCUGCAAGACCGCGAGGUUUAGCCAAUCCCAUAAAACCAUUCUCAGUUCGGAUUGUAGGCUGCAACUCGCCUACAUGAAGCCGGAAUCGCUAGUAAUCGCGGAUCAGCAUGCCGCGGUGAAUACGUUCCCGGGCCUUGUACACACCGCCCGUCACACCACGAGAGUUUGUAACACCCGAAGUCGGUGGGGUAACCUUUUGGAGCCAGCCGCCUAAGGUGGGACAGAUGAUUGGGGUGAAGUCGUAACAAGGUAGCCGUAUCGGAAGGUGCGGCUGGAUCACCUCCUU